ensembl:lncRNA
GGAAUCCUGAGGACUUGCCAGGGUCUCCCAGCAUUCCCAACAGAAUGAUUAGUGCUGCCAGACAUGUGACCCAGGGCUGGUGACACAGGAGCAUGGGGACCAAACCACCUCCAGACCCAGCGCAACUUGAUCUGAGAGAGGGGGUUAAGAAGGUGUGCCUACCCCCACCCCACCCCAGCGAGGAACUUGGAAACUGGCAUUAGACAGCCCUGCGUGGACAUUAAAACAGCACUUCCAGGGAAUUCCCUGGCAUUCCAGAGGUUAGGACUCCUGACUGUCACUGCCUAGGGUCCAGGUGCAGCCCCUGCGCUGAGGAUGGAGACCCUGCAAGCUGCGGGCAAUGUGAAAACGCAACGCAAAACACUGCCUGGAUGGGGAAAAACCUACGAAGGAAGGAGGUGGUGCAGACUGAGAGCCCUGAGGAGCGUGAGCCUGGAGCAGACGGCAACUCUCUCCCAGACAGUAGGGGCUUCAGGGCUCACCCCAGCAUCCCUCUCCCAGCCCUACUGUCUGCGUUCUCUGGCCUAGGCCUUCUGGCCUGCGUCCCCGCCUCUUCCAGGAAGACUUCUGGGCUUCCCAGAACACGCGCAGGUGGCCUUCAUCUGGCCCUGGCUGCUACACACCAUCAUAAGGCCACACAGUGUCCAACUGGAUGCUCCGAGGGCCCGAGCCCCUAUCCCAGGCCCCCAGGCAUCCAGCGGCUUCUAGACCCAGAGGGCAGCCGGGCAGGCUCGGGCAAGCACGCCCUGAGCCGCCUCGAUCAGAGGGUGCUCAGCUCACAGCCUGUAGGGCUCAAGGCGGUCCUGAGUGACGAGGUGGAGAGACAGCCAGGUCAAAGCAGCGACCGCAAUUACGCUGCAUUACUGCCUGCAAUGGAGCAGUGCGGGCCCUGGGGUCUGCCCCCCCAACUCGUCCUCCCCACAAGGUGUCCAGACCACAGAUCUGACUGUGUUCUCCCCUGCUCGAAGCCCAGUGUUUGGUGCCUGGGGUGACCCCCCGUUCGCCAUCUGGACUCCACCCUCACCGGGACCCUCGCCACUUCGAACUGGGCUGUUCUGUGUCUGUGUAGCUCUGGUAUCCCACUCUCCAGCGGCAUCCUGCCCACCCCGCAAGGCCCAGCUUGCUCAGCCCCCAGACCUGCAGACCCCCCAGGGCAGGCCAGGUCUGGAAUGUGGGAGUGCUCAUCUUUGCCCAGUUCGGGUGCAGGACCCAGCCCCUGACCCGCGCUGAACUCUUGGAAACGAACACACCAGCAGAACCCAGGCCGCAUGUUUUUAAGCCUUUGGGCUGAGGUUAAGUUUGAGCUUGUGCCAGCCUGGAAUCUGUCUCUCCCCGGUCUCACAGACAGGAGAGGUUCUGAGAGGUUCACUGACUCCUGCAACAAGUCUGAGACUCUGCUCUGAAAAUGAGUGUGAGGAUGGGGGCCAAGGAGGGUGGGGGGUGCCCAGGAGGUGGCUCUUGGUGGACCUAAGAGCAGACAAGAGCCUCCAGGACUCUGGGUUAUGGAGGUGGCUUAGGGCAGAACUUUGGGUCCCGCUCACCUCCCCCCGGAAGGACUGAUGCUGAAACUGAAGCACCACUGCUUCGGCCACCUGAUGUGAAGAG